rnacentral:lncRNA from 1 species
CACGUUGAUUCGCGUCCAGUAACUCAGACGUGUCAGUGAAGGCAGCCGCGGAAGUAUCGGCUUUCAGUUCAACAUGGCUUCAAAUGCGACGAGCUGAGAAAAACCAGGGCUAUUUUCUAUUUCAGCACUCCCGAGGCGUCAAACGAGGAAAAAGACUUGGGAAAUAUAUUCAACAGCUGCAUUCAAAUCAUGGUGGGAAGACACUGAUCGGAUCGUUCAGGUUUACACAGUGUGGGCUUCGGCCGUCACGAACAAGACUGCAGUCCGAUGCCAUCGCUCUCCAUUCCGCCUGCCAUGGACGGGCACAUCUUUUCACAUUCGGACGGACCUCAACUGGAUGCCGGGGGGUUCAUCCUUGCACCCCCUUUGGUAACUACCUCUCAUUUCAUUUAGCAUCACAUCUAAAAGUGGAGCGUUUUUGGUCCCACCAGUCAAAAACGUUUGAAACUACAACCAUUCGGUUACUAGCCUGUAUUAUUAACCACAAUGCCUUUGGUAUUGAAUCACAUUUCUUACCAGCACACGUUUAGUAUAAAUUCAUAAAGUGUGCAUAUAGUGUUCGUUACUGGUUUCCUUUUUCGAAAACUCGGGUCAUUCGCUCUGAUAUCUGGCGAAACCUCAAGACUUUGGUGUGUGUGGGUGAUAGAAUGACGUCUUUGUGGUCACAGAGUCAUUUUAACAGUUGGUAGACGCAAUUCCUGAUAAGCCAUGCAGCUUUUUCUCACCGUUUUGUUAAAAUACUGUCAUCGUGUAUCUCGUAUUUUGACAGGGUUCAGUAAAAUUCAAAGAAUAAGAUGGUUUAAAGUGGAAAAAGGAAGUGUUAAGGUAAAUAUUUGGGUGGUGAUGAAGUACAGUGAUGUCAUCAUGAGUGUAAAAAGCACUUGUGCAAAUGAAGGGAGUUUCCUGUAGACACAAAUUUUAGAUAUAGACCGAAUGACUCACUAUUUUUAUGCAGGCAAUACUCGGCUCCGGUCAAAGUUGUAAUGGUUAUAAAUGUUAUUUUUGUUUUAGUUCCUAUUUUAUGUUCAAUGCG